rnacentral:ncRNA from 1 species
CUGCUUACGCGGGGGUCCUGCGUCAUGCGCCGCUUCGAUCGAAAGUCGUGCAGCGUAUUUCGCGGGUGAGAAAUACCCUUUGAACCUGAUCUGGAUAAUGCCAGCGCAGGGAAGCGUCCGGACUUCGCAG